CCACAAAUGGUCUUUAAAAACCUGAGCAACUCUUCCUGUCCUACUUUAUUUCCUUCCCAACCAUGAGUUCAGUGUGACAGUGGGAAGCAGUGAGCACGUGGUCAUACCCAGGAGAUGCACAGGGUGAGGUCCCACCAGGACACCCCUCACCACGGGGAUGCAGCAGUUGAUUCUGGGGUCCCGUGGCAGCUCCACAUCCACAGUGACCAAAGGGCCCACAGGGACAGUGGCCCUGGAGGUAGCUGGUGACUGAAGACUGCUGGAUUGCUCCAUACCUGGAUGAGAUGUGUGAGGUCGCCGGGGAUGCUGGUGGCUGUGGGUCUCCUGAUGACCACAGCCAAGGCAGGCCAGGUUGGAUGGGGCCUUGGCAACCUGAGCUGGAUUUCAGCCUCCAGAUUUCAGCCCCCCAAAUGUGCCAAGCGUGAACCUUCAGCGAGAGCUUCAUCCACGCAACCCAUGCUGGACUAACUCAUCCCAGUCCAACCGUUCCCUGCAGCAGGAGUUUUGCGUUCAUGGAAGCACCUGGUGUAUUAGAAGUUGGUUUUGGAAUGCACUCACAGUGCCAACAGCCACAGUGACCGUCCUGCUGCCGGGCUGAGCAGUGGGGGGCUCUGCACUGGGGGAUGGAGCCUGAGCUGUGGCCUUGGGACCUGGCUGAGUUUCCCUGCUUCCAGCUGGGGGAUGGGGACAUCAGGAACAGGACCCAUCUAGGAACAGGAGCAGGUGCUGCCUUGCUUACCAUGGGGCUUUAAAGGCCAGGCUCACCCCAGCAAGGCAGUGGGUCCUCAGUUAGCUGCCCAGCUCCUUGUAAGGUCAUAUUUGUCAUCUCAAAAUACAGUUUGCUGUAGAACAGAGAAUAUUUAGAAGGGAUUUGAUAAGUAACAUCUGCUGCUGUACUGAAAUUUCAGUUCGAAGUGCUAAAAACUUUAAAAAGAAAGAGGUUUGGGUAAAAAUAAAAGGUCUCUGGAGAGGUCUCCUUGGCAGGAUCCUCCUCUCCUCCUUACACACAGCAGAUUUGUUCAUGUUUGCCAUUAUCCAUCAAACCAGAGCGCAGCAAAGGGCAGCUUUCAAGAGAUGAACCUGGAGGAGAUAAUAUUUCACACCGCAUAAAAUGCACCUCGGGAAUUUUCAGUUCUUCUUCCCUGUUACAUUACAAGGGCCUUCAUAAAAAGUGUCACAGCUCACGAGCUAAAAAAGAAAAAGAAGAAAAGAGAAAAAAAAAAAAAAAAGCAGCAGCUUGUGGCUUUGGAUGCAUUCAGUGCGCGUUUGUGGUCGGCGUUUCCCAGGCUGCUCGGGGGUGAGCGCCAGGUCGGCCCUCGCACGGCGCUCUGCAGGCGCUGUUUCUGUAUGAGUGAUAGCAGGCACUGAACGGCAGCACUGCGGCUGAAGGCUCCAUCCUGCCCAGGGGGUUGGGAUGGGGAUGCAGCUCCCAGCCGCCCCGCUGCUGCUGCUGUGUUCAAUGAGGUGGGAGUGGGCGCUAACCCGGGGUUUGAGGGAUAUAAGUAGGUUUUGCCUCCUCUAACGGAGAGGUUUGGCUUCAUCCUCGUUCAACUUCACUGCCACAAGGUGAGAUGGGGAACGGAUGGGUGAGCGUACAAAUGAGGAGGUGCUGCAGAGCAGCCUCAGUGCACAAUGUGGGGCAAUGUAAGUCACCGAGUGCUGCCGUAGGAAGAGGUGGGAGGCUCUGGUUUGGCAGUUACUAUAGCAAUUAACCCAAGCCCAGGGUUCCCCUGGGUACAGCCCUGGCGGUGCCUGCAUGCUCGCUGCAGAUGGGUUGUUGUGGUGCUGGGGUGUACUUGUGUGCUUGAUCUGUGUGUAAACACAAGAAGGCAGAUAUACAAACACUGCCCUGCACUCAACCUGGCUGCUCUAAAACAAACCAUCAUUAGAGGGAGGCAGUCCAGGAGGUCCAACCCUGACGCACACGGCUGUGCCUGCUGCCAGCCUGCUGCACCGAUGUGUCUUGCUUCCACAGAGCUCAAUUCACCGCACCAGAAGUAGUCCUAAAACCCAACACAAGGGACAGAUCCUUUGGUUUUCCAUAUUUUCUCCCCUGGGUAGGAAACAGGUCAGGUCUGCCAGCAGAACAGACCGCAGCAGAUGGGUUGCUUUCCUACUGCACUUUUUUGCAUGAAGGAAGAUGAUACCUUACACGUGAGGUGCCACCUCAGUCAGUCACUGCACAAUGCCUUUCCUUGUCCCCUCCAUGCCCUCAGCAGUCAGACAUCUGACUCCGAUUGCUCUCUUUCCCACUUGAUGUAAGGAGUAUUGUGCACGAAGAGAAGUGCACGGAGGUGAAACCCUCUGAGAAACAUUGCGGCCACUUCUCUUUUCCCAUCAGCAGAUAUUGCUUCAGUUCCCAUUUCCUACUAUUGACUUUUGUUGCCUUUGGGCCCUGAUCACUGGCUGCUUGCUAAGGAUUUCUGAGCCUUGGACCAUGACCUAAUUUCACUAUUUAAAAACAGAUCUUCAGUAUUCCUAUUGUGCUUUGUCUUUGAAUGGGCAUUUCUGCAAAACAGUUCCAUUUUCUCUGCCUGCAAGCAACACAAGAUCGAGCAAGGCGCUCACACCGUGGUACCAGCAGGGCCCAGCCAUGGGAACAAUCCCUGUCCCCCCCAUCCGGAGCCCUCUGCCCACCUCCCUCCGAUCAGACCCCGUGCUCCCCCCAGCCCUUCAUCUUAAAGAAAAACACCACAAUCACCACUGUGUAUCUCAGACGCCCUGCAAAAGCUGUGAGUUGCAGACCGCCAGAAAACUGCUCAGACGGUCACAGCGGCUGAGCAAUGCUGGCUCUCACCAUCACCGCUCCGCUGCCGUCCUGCUGCUGCUGCCCCAGGCCCUGCGACCUUUGCAGUGAUUAUUUUCGGUCCUGCGGAAAAGGAAAUAGGAAGUAGAGCCACUCAGAUGUGUUUUCGCACACCGCGGGGCUCUCCCAUGCUCAGACAGCACUGCUCGCUCUGCGGAGAGCUCUCGUUGCCAUUUAUUCGCUCUGGGAUGUUGCAAUCAGACCAAAACGGCAGCGCGGCUACCUGAGGGUGGAAGUGGCUGAGGAAGCAGAGAGCAGUCCCGGCAGUGGGGAUGCACCGCUGAGGUCAGAGUGGGACACAGCUUGAAAGAUGAGCACGGCUGGGCUCCAGGGCUUGGGCUGCAACCACCCUGCUGUUCUGGAGCCUCUGAUGCCUGGCUCAGAAACGUAUCUAAGGAG
ensembl:lncRNA